GACGAACGCUGGCGGCGUGCCUAAUACAUGCAAGUAGGACGCAGUUGCGAACGGGUGAGUAACGCGUAGGUAACUACCUAUCAGAGGGGGAUAACUAUUGGAAACGAUAGCUAAUACCGCAUACUAGUAGAUGGACCUGCGUUGUAUUAGCUAGUAGGUAGGGUAAUGGCCUACCUAGGCAACGAUACAUAGCCGGGCUGGGGGGGUGGUGGGCCACACUGGGACUGGGAAACGGGCCAGGCUCCGACGGGGGGCAGCAGUAGGGAAACUUCGGCAAUGGGGGGAACGCUGACCGAGCAACGCCGCGUGAGUGAAGGAGGUUUUCGGGUCGUAAAGCUCUGUUGUUAAGGAAGCGGUACUUAACCAGAAAGGGACGGCUAACUACGUGCCAGCAGCCGCGGUAAUUC
rnacentral:rRNA from 1 species